CGACACGCGAUCCUCGGCUAUCUUCCCAUGUCGCCAGUGCAAGAUUUCCUCAUGUCUUUGAUUUUGCUCACACGGUUUGUAGCUUUUUGAAUCGCUGGUAGCAGCUUUUUGACUAAACCAGUUGAAUCCUUUUUAAAUCACUUCUAGUUGUAGCUUUCGUCUAAAUGGAUGGUUUCUUUUGCAUCUUUUUCCCCAAAAUCACCGGUUCCAGCUUCCCCAAUCACCGGUUGAAGCUUUUUAUUCAGCGGGUUGUAGCUUUUUUGGAUUUUUCAAUCCAGUGCUGGAACCACUAGUUGGGCAUGUUACAAGCAGGGGCAUUUUUUGCUGGAACCAUGUUCUUUCUUUGCUUGAACCGGUCCUAAUUUUUGCUACCACCUUGUGUUUUGAUUUUGCUGGAACCAGUCUAAAAAUUGCUAUCACCGUCUUUCGAUUGUGCUGGAACCGCAUUAUUUUUUUGCUGGAACCGCCUUUUUCUUUUGCUUCAACCUACCAUGGUUGUUUUUGUUGCUGAGAUUUUUUUGCUGGAACUAGCUUUAAUUUUUGCUGGAACCAUCUAAAAUUUUACUGCUAUGGCGGUGGCGGCGGCGAGAAGUAUUUGUGUGUUUUGCUGGAACCGGAGAUUUUGUUUUGCUUCCACCUACGGCAUUUUUUGUUGCCACCAGCGACGACCUACGGCGGCGAGCGAGGGACUGCUGCUGCAAGCAGGCGGUGAGAUUGCAGAUCGUCAAGGAAAGGGAGGUUGGGACCCAAAGAAGGUCAUGCUGUAAUCUCGACGGAUGUGCGGCGAGCGACGACAAGCUGGUUGUGCCGCGACGGCGCGGCGGAGCUGCGGUGGGGGUGGGGACUCGAGCGCUGCAGGAUGGGCGGGUGGCCACACGCGGUGAGGCGGACAAAGCACGACGAUGCAGCAGAAACGCGUGGGUGGAGGAGAUCGGGAUGAAAGGGAACGGUCCCACGGGAACCAAUCUGACGGUGGGUGGUCGACCGGCCCAAAAUUGGGCCGGUGCACCGGCGCAGAUUACUCCUCUCAUUAUCAAUACACAAGUUUCAUUAUAACUUUACAUUACGGCGCGAUCUGUUGACCAAGCGAGCGGCAUAGUAAUUACGACGUUGGCACUCCACCAGAACGCCGAAAGAGAAAAACCAAUCAUCUAUGUAGUGUAUAGUGGCACGGAACAUCGAUUAUUCUUCCAUGAUAAUCCGCUUGGAUCUUCCAUGGGAACAAACACGGCACACGCCGGGGGCUCUGGGGCUAGAACCGGCCAGCAGCCUGCCACUUUCUCGAGUACAAGUACGGGCAGAUGGAGCUCCCGUCAUUCCCCUCCGAUCAGUAGCAGGAGGUCACUUGGGGCGCCUUGGUGACGAACUCCCGAAGUGUCGUUCACGCCGAAGCAGCGGUGGGCCGGUGGCCCGCCUCGUCGAGCUGCACCGGCUUAGUCUUUCUCACCGCCGCCACAUGGACUGUCUCGGCUGCCCGCCGCCUGCUAUGGUGAACGUCUACGACUCACCUACAGGGUGGAUGCGCUGAUGGACAUGGUCUAGGAGACGAGGGCCCCGACCGAUGCUGGAAGGGAGGAGAUGCCUCGUACGCGCUGGCGGUGUCCGGGGAGAAGGGAAGCAAGCUACGGCCACGACGUAACACGAUGAAGGUGUGGGCUGCGUUGCAGGGAUUAAUAUCAGUCUAAUAUUAAAGGAUUACCAAUU